rnacentral:rRNA from 1 species
UACGUAGGAGGCGAGCGUUGUCCGGAAUUACUGGGCGUAAAGGAUGCGUAGGCGGCUCCUUAAGUGAGGUGUGAAAUCCCUGGGCUCAACCCAGGAACUGCACUUCAAACUGGGGAGCUAGAGUGCAGGAGAGGAAAGCGGAAUUCCCGGUGUAGCGGUGAAAUGCGUAGAGAUCGGGAGGAUCACCAGUGGCGAAGGCGGCUUUCUGGUCUGUAACUGACGCUGAGGCACGAAAGCGUGGGGAGCAAACAGG